GCACUACUGGGGAGUCCCAUACUAGGACGAAACGGCCGUCCAGUGC
rfam:Schistosoma margrebowiei strain Zambia genome assembly, scaffold: SMRZ_contig0003958